rnacentral:lncRNA from 1 species
GGUAUUUUAUUCCCAUCUCCAUUUCAGUAUAGAUUUCAAUAUUGUACUAAUAUAUAACUGAUUUUCUUUUUCGAAUUACAGAUUGAAGUUCAUGGAAAAUUUGCCUAUGUUUCUCAAACAGCAUGGAUACAGACAGGUACAAUACGUGAGAAUAUAUUGUUUGGAGCAGCCAUGGAUGCUGAAAAAUAUCAAGAAACAAUCCAUAGGUCUUCACUGAUGAAGGACCUUGAGUUGUUUCCACACGGUGAUCUCACUGAAAUAGGGGAGAGAGGGGUCAACCUGAGUGGAGGUCAGAAGCAGCGAAUUCAACUUGCUCGCGCUCUUUAUCAGAAUGCUGAUAUUUAUCUCUUGGAUGAUCCAUGCAGUGCUGUUGAUGCACACACUGCUACAAACUUGUUCAAUGUAAUGGGAAAAAAAAACACCAGUUCUUCAUAUACCAUAUUUAUGUUUGCCUUUUAUUGAUAGACGCCUUUGAAACUUCACAGGAUUACAUCAUGGAAGGACUUGCAGGGAAGACAGUCUUGCUUGUGACUCAUCAAGUUGAUUUUCUUCCAGCCUUUGAUUCUGUUUUGGUAAUUUUCUCAAUCUUAAAAGACAUCGAUCAUGUGAAUUCUAAUUAAUGACUUUAGAUUUGUUGUUUCGAUUCAAAAGUUAUGUUUUUUUGUUUGUUUAAAGCUAUGAAUGAUAACAAGAUGUUUACUUACAGUUGAUGUCGAAUGGGGAAAUCAUAGAAGCUGCUCCUUAUCAUCAUCUGUUGAGUUCAAGCCAAGAAUUUCAAGACCUUGUUAAUGCUCACAAGGAGACCGCUGGUUCUGAGAAACUAGUGGAUGUCAGUUCUUCUAGUAGAAAUUCAAAUACUGUUACAGAGAUUAGUAAAAUAGAAAUGGAGAAGCAGUGUGAAACAUCAGAAGGCAGUAAAUUAAUAAAGAAAGAGGAGAGGGAGAAAGGAAACAGAGGGUUCAAACCUCACUUGCAGUAUCUAACUCAGAACAAAGGAUAUAUAUACUUCUCUGUGGCUUCUAUUUCUCACCUUAUUUUCACAAUUGGCCAGAUAUUUCAGAACUUAUGGAUGGCUUCCAGUGUUGACAACCCUUAUGUCAGCACAUUAAAAUUGAUUGCAGUGUACUUGUUGAUUGGGUUUAUUUCUGCAUGUUUCUUGUUCAUCAGAAGUCUUGUUGUGGUUGCUAUGAGUAUUCGAACAUCAAAAUCUUUACUUUUACAGCUACUGGACUCCCUUUUUCG